rnacentral:rRNA from 1 species
GACUACUGGAGGCAGCAGUGGGGAAUAUUGGACAAUGGGCGAAAGCCUGAUCCAGCCAUGCCGCGUGUGUGAAGAAGGCCUUCGGGUUGUAAAGCACUUUCAGUGGGGAAGAAAGCCUUGGGGCUAAUACCCUCGAGGAAGGACAUCACCCACAGAAGAAGCACCGGCUAACUCCGUGCCAGCAGCCGCGGUAAUACGGAGGGUGCGAGCGUUAAUCGGAAUUACUGGGCGUAAAGCGCGCGUAGGCGGUCUGAUAAGCCGGUUGUGAAAGCCCCGGGCUCAACCUGGGAACGGCAUCCGGAACUGUCAGGCUAGAGUGCAGGAGAGGAAGGUAGAAUUCCCGGUGUAGCGGUGAAAUGCGUAGAGAUCGGGAGGAAUACCAGUGGCGAAGGCGGCCUUCUGGACUGACACUGACGCUGAGGUGCGAAAGCGUGGGUAGCAAACAGGAUUAGAUACCCGUGUAGUC